rnacentral:rRNA from 1 species
ACGCGAAAGUCCCCUUCGGGGGACGAGUAGAGUGGCGUCCGGGUGAGUAACACGUGAGUAAUUUGCCUUCGGGUGGGGAAUAACAGCCGGAAACGGCUGCUAAUACCGCAUGAUGCAGCGGCACCUCAUGGUGACAGUUGUUAAAGAGGGGGAUCCUUCGGGACCUCUCGCCUGAAGAGAAGCUCGCGGCAGAUUAGCUAGUUGGUAGGGUAACGGCCUACCAAGGCAACGAUCUGUAGCCGGCCUGAGAGGGCGGUCGGCCACACUGACACUGACACACGGGUCAGACUCCUACGGGAGGCAGCAGUCGGGAAUUUUGGGCAAUGGGCGAAAGCCUGACCCAGCAACGCCGCGUGAAGGAUGAAGUUUUUCGGAAUGUAAACUUCACAAGAAUGGGAAGAAUAAGUCGGGGUUAAUACCCCCGAUGAUGACGGUACCAUUUGUAAGCUCCGGCUAACUCCGUGCCAGCAGCCGCGGUAAUACGGGGGGAGCAAGCGUUGUUCGGAUUUACUGGGCGUAAAGGGCGCGUAGGCGGCGCAACAAGUCACUUGUGAAAUCUCCGGGCUUAACCCGGAGCGGUCAAGUGAUACUGUCGUGCUAGAGUGCGGAAGGGGCAACUGGAAUUCUCGGUGUAGCGGUGAAAUGCGUAGAUAUCGAGAGGAACACCUGCGGCGAAGGCGGGUUGCUGGGCCGACACUGACGCUGAGGCGCG